rnacentral:rRNA from 1 species
UACGUAGGGGGCUAGCGUUGUCCGGAAUCAUUGGGCGUAAAGCGCGUGUAGGCGGUCCGGUAGUCCGCUGUGAAAGUCGAGGGCUCAACCCUCGAAUGCCGGUGGAUACUGUCGGGCUUGAGUACGGGAGAGGCGAGUGGAAUUCCUGGUGUAGCGGUGAAAUGCGCAGAUAUCAGGAGGAACACCGAUUGCGAAGGCAGCUCGCUGGAACGUUACUGACGCUGAGACGCGAAAGCGUGGGGAGCAAACAGG